rnacentral:rRNA from 1 species
AUAACGACUCUCGGCAACGGAUAUCUCGGCUCUUGCAUCGAUGAAGAACGUAGCGAAAUGCGAUGCUUGGUGUGAAUUGCAGAAUCCCGUGAACCAUCGAGUCUUUGAACGCAAGUUGCGCCCGAAGCCAUCAGGUUGAGGGCACGUCUGUUUGGGCGUCACGC